rnacentral:tRNA from 1 species
AAUAAAWUGGCUGAGAUUAAGCGAUAAAUUGUAAAUUUAUUUACGAGAAUGUUUCUCUUUUAUUA